rnacentral:rRNA from 1 species
UAGAACGCUAGCGGAAGGCCUAAUACAUGCAAGUCGAACGAGAAAGUUGGCUUCGGCCGAUGAGUAAAGUGGCGCACGGGUGAGUAACGCGUGGAUAAUCUGCCCUUUAGUUUGGAAUAACGUACCGAAAGGUGCGCUAAUACCGGAUAAUACUGAAUGACUACUGUCGUUUAGUCAAAGAAGGCUUCUGUUUACAUGCUUUUGCUGAAGGAUGAGUCCGCGUACCAUUAGCUAGUUGGUAGGGUAAUGGCCUACCAAGGCGACGAUGGUUAGCUGGUCUGAGAGGAUGAUCAGCCACACUGGAACUGAGACACGGUCCGGACUCCUACGGGAGGCAGCAGUGAGGAAUAUUGCGCAAUGGGGGCAACCCUGACGCAGCAACGCCGCGUGAGUGAGGAAGGUUUUCGGACCGUAAAGCUCUGUCGAGCGGGAAGAAAUGCAUGGUGGCUAAUAUCCAUCAUGCUUGACGGUACCGCUAAAGGAAGCACCGGCUAACUCCGUG